rnacentral:rRNA from 1 species
AUUGAACGCUGGCGGCAGGCCUAACACAUGCAAGUCGAACGAGUGGCGGACGGGUGAGUAAUGUCUGGGAAACUGCCUGAUGGAGGGGGAUAACUACUGGAAACGGUAGCUAAUACCGCAUACCAUCGGAUGUGCCCAGAUGGGAUUAGCUAGUAGGUGGGGUAAAGGCUCACCUAGGCGACGAUCCCUAGCUGGUCUGCGAGGAUGACCAGCCGCACGGGAACUGGGACACGGUCAAGACUCCUACGGGAGGCAGCAGUGGCGAAUAUUGCGCAGUGGGCGCAAGCCUGAUGCAGCCAUGCCACGUGUAUGAAGAAGGCCUUCGGGUUGUAAAGUACUUUCAGCGGGGAUGCGUUACCCGCAGAAGAAGCACCGGCUAACUCCGUGCCAGCAGCCGCGGUAAUAC